rnacentral:lncRNA from 1 species
GGACCAUAGGACCCCCAUAGAGACCCAUGAACCCCCCAUAGGACGCCGUUAGGACCAUAAGAACCCCAUAUGGACCCAAUGGACCCCCCAUAGGACCCAUAGGACACACCCCCCCCCAUAGGAUCCAUAGGACCCCCCCCCUUUCCCAUUCUUCAAUGGGGUGGAACCCUCCCAUUCAUUCAAUGGCCUUGAGACCCCCCCCAUUCAUUUCAAUGGGCUGUUAGAGCCCCCCAUUCAUUUCAAUGGGCUUAGAGUCCCCAUUCAUUUCAAUGGGGUGAGAGGCCCCAUUCAUUUCAAUGGGGUGAGACCCCUCCCAUUCAUUUUCAAUGGCUUAGCAGCCCCCCAUUCAUGUUCCAACUGGGUCGAGGGACCCUCCCAUUGCAUUCUCAAUUGGGGCGAGACCCCCCAUACCGUAUCCCUCCGGACCCCGAACAACCCGAACACCCGCUAAAGGUGGAAUUAAUUAUAGGGGGGGUGGGGUAAGGGAAGAAAGAGGACCCCCCCCCCCCUUCCCAUUCAUUUUAAUGGGGUGAGGGGCCCCAUUCAUUUCAAUGGGGUGAGAGCCCUCCCCAUUCAUUUCAAUGGGGUGAGAGCCCUCCCAUUCAUUUCAAUGGGGUGAGAGCCCCCCAUAGGACCCCCCAUAGGACCUCAUAGGGACCAUCCAUAGGACCCAUAGGACCCCCCAUAGGACCAUAGGACCCCCCAUAGGAUCCAUAGGACCCCCCAACAAGGACCCAUAGGACGCCCCAUUAGGUAUCAUAGGAACCCAUAGACCCCCCCAUAAGGUCCAUAGACCCCAUAGGAUCCACCAGGACCCCCCAUAGAAUACAUAGGACCCAUAGGACCCCCCAUGGAUUCAUAGGACCCAUAGGACCCCCCAUUAGAUCUCAUAGGACCCCCCAUAGUCAUAGUACCCAUAGGAACCCCCAUAGGAUCCAUAAAGACCCAUAGGAACCCCCAUAGGAUCCAUAGGACCCAUAGGACCCCCAUAGGAUUCCAUAGGAUCCAUAGGAUCCAUAGGACCCCCAUAGGAUCCAUAGGACCCAUAGGACCCCCCAUAGGACCCAUAGGACCCCCCAUAGGAUCCAUAGGACCCAUAGGACCCCCCAUAGGAUCCAUAGGACCCAUAGGAACCCCCAUAGGAUCCAUAGGACCCAUAGGACCCCCCAUAGGACCCAUAGGACCCCCCAUAGGAUCCAUAGGACCCAUAGGACCCCCCAUAGGAUCCAUAGGACCCCCCCCUUCCCAUUCAUUUCAAUGGGCUGAGACCCCCCCCAUUCAUUCAAUGGGGUGAGAGCCUCUCCUCAUUCAUUUCAAUGGCUGUAGAGCCGCCCAUUCAUUUCAAUGGCGGUGAGGACCCUUCCCAUUCAUUUCAAAUGGCGCGAGACCCCUCCCAUUCAUUUCAAUGGGGUGAGACCCCCCCAUACCGAUCCCCGUCCGGGACCUCCCAGAACAACCCGACCAGCCCCCGUAAAAGGUGGAAUUUAAUU